CAAGUUACAACGCUUGAACAUUAUUUUUAUGCUAAAAAUAAAUUUAUCCGACUUGCAGGUUAGCAGAAGCAAUCUACAUUCUUUCCCGGGAAAGUCUUGGACAAGCAGGGGAUGGCGUUGCGAUAGCAUGUCAUGGAAGAGAUGCUUCUGGGUUUGGGAAGUCAUCAUCCAUUUAUAAUAGUCACAUGAUUCACUGCAAAGUAUAUGACGCAAAGAAGAACAGAUAAUAUUCAUUAUUCAAAUUGCAUUAAUGAAAAGUUGAAGAUACCAAGACAAAUUAUCAGCCAUCUCUUUCUAACAUCAUGGGGGUGGUAUCCAUAUCUUCUCAGUUUAACUUAUGGUUUUAUGGUACAAAAUUAGCACAACAGCAAGACCUUGAUUUAUGUUUUGUGAAGGACACAAUUGGUCUUCCAGAGAGGAUUAUUUCAAGCAAGCAAAUGACACAUAGCAAACCCAACCUGGAAAAGUAGGAGCGGCAUUUUCAUCAUAGCAGGCCGGAACUAGAAAGGUAGGAGUGGUAUGUCCUCCAUCUCAACUGCUCCAUCAUACAGCUCUAGAAUCUUGUGAUUUCUAAAG